rnacentral:rRNA from 1 species
UACGGAGGGUGCAAGCGUUAUCCGGAUUCACUGGGUUUAAAGGGUGCGUAGGUGGGUCUGUAAGUCAGUGGUGAAAUCUCCGGGCUUAACCCGGAAACUGCCAUUGAUACUAUAGGUCUUGAAUUUUCUGGAGGUCAGCGGAAUAUGUCAUGUAGCGGUGAAAUGCUUAGAUAUGACAUAGAACACCGAUUGCGAAGGCAGCUGACUACAGGAACAUUGGCACUGAGGCACGAAAGCGUGGGGAUCAAACAGG